rnacentral:rRNA from 1 species
GACUACGCUCUAUAACCCUUUGUGACAUACCUAUAACUGUUGCUUCGGCGGGUAGGGUCUCCGCGACCCUCCCGGCCUCCCGCCUCCGGGCGGGUCGGCGCCCGCCGGAGGAUAACCAAACUCUGAUUUAACGACGUUUCUUCUGAGUGGUACAAGCAAAUAAUCAAAACUUUUAACAACGGAUCUCUUGGUUCUGGCAUCGAUGAAGAACGCAGCGAAAUGCGAUAAGUAAUGUGAAUUGCAGAAUUCAGUGAAUCAUCGAAUCUUUGAACGCACAUUGCGCCCGCCAGCAUUCUGGCGGGCAUGCCUGUUCGAGCGUCAUUUCAACCCUCAAGCUCUGCUUGGUGUUGGGGCCCUACAGCUGAUGUAGGCCCUCAAAGGUAGUGGCGGACCCUCCCGGAGCCUCCUUUGCGUAGUAACUUUACGUCUCGCACUGGGAUCCGGAGGGACUCUUGCCGUAAAACCCCCCAAUUUUCCAAAGGUUGACCUCGGAUCAGGUAGGAAUACCCGCUGAACUUAAGCAUAUCAAUAAGCGGAGGAA